UGGCUGAGUGGUAAAGCGCUUGGCUUCUGAACCGACGGGUCCCGGGUUCGAAUCCUGG
rnacentral:tRNA from 1 species